rnacentral:tRNA from 1 species
GCGGAUUUAGCUCAGCGGCAGAGCGGCGCAGUUCACGACGCAGGUCCAUGUUCGACUCAUGGAAUCCGCACCA